rnacentral:pre_miRNA from 1 species
GAUUUCAACUGAAAAAGUCAUCAACAAUAAAGUUGUAUAACUCAUCAAGAUCUAUAACUUUUAUUUUGAUCAUUUCUUCAUCCGAUAAAGUGAUAGUAACAUUGUUCACAAAAUUUAUAUAUCUCUAAUAUGGUUUUAUAAACUAUAAGAGAGAUAUGCAAAUUUUGUGAACAAUAUUAUUGUCACUUUGUCGGAUGAAGAAAUGAUCAAAAUAAAAGUUAUAUGUCUUGAUGAAUUCUACAACUUUUAUGUUCAUGACUUUUUCAGCUGAAAUU